UACGAAGGGGGCUAGCGUUGCUCGGAAUCACUGGGCGUAAAGGGCGCGUAGGCGGGUUUUUAAGUCAGAGGUGAAAUCCUGGAGCUCAACUCCAGAACUGCCUUUGAUACUGAAAGUCUUGAGUAUGGGAGAGGUGAGUGGAACUGCGAGUGUAGAGGUGAAAUUCGUAGAUAUUCGCAAGAACACCAGUGGCGAAGGCGGCUCACUGGCCCAUAACUGACGCUGAGGCACGAAAGCGUGGGGAGCAAACAGG
rnacentral:rRNA from 1 species